UACGUAGGGGGCAAGCGUUGUCCGGAAUCAUUGGGCGUAAAGCGCGUGUAGGCGGCCAGGUAAGUCCGUUCUGAAAGCCCGGGGCUCAACCCCGGGAGGCGGAUGGAUACUGCUUGGCUCGAGUCCGGAAGAGGUGAGUGGAAUUCCCGGUGUAGCGGUGAAAUGCGCAGAUAUCGGGAGGAACACCAAUGGCGAAGGCGGCAUCCUGGCCCUAUCCUGACGCUGAGGCGCGAGAGCGUGGGGAGCAAACCGG
rnacentral:rRNA from 1 species